AUUCAGCUGCUUCUCCUGCGCCUGGUAAUUUUCCCCCUACCGUCUGCAUUCCUCCGAGUCGCGUGUGCAUCGACCUGUUGUAUCUUUUCUCCACUCUGGUGAAAUAAUUUUUAUAUUAUGUACAUAAGCAUGCAAAUGCAUUUCGCAAGGAUUCCUGUAGGUACAGCGAAUUUCCCUGCCAUUUCUCACAGUUUUCCCGCAAAGACCAAGAAGAGCCAAAAAAACGAUCAGGAUGAUCAACUUCAUGUUGGGGCGAGGGCUGGUUAAGUGUCUCCAGCUGCUGAUUGAAAUUAGUUUUAUAUCUGACCAGAAGUAGGCCAGCCAAUGAACUCGAUUCGCAAUCCAU